rnacentral:misc_RNA from 1 species
AGCAGCCGCGGUAAUUCCAGCUCCAAUAGCGUAUAUUAAAGUUGUUGCAGUUAAAAGCUCGUAGUUGAAUUUCGGGAUUGACACAUCGGUCGUGCCUUAAGGGGUAUGAACUGGUGUAGUCAAUUUCUCACCUUCUGGAGAACCGCGAUGCCCUUAAUUGGGUGCCGCGGGGAACCAGGACCUUUACUUUGAAAAAUUGAGUGUUUAAAGCAGGCAUUUUGCUUGAAUACAUUAGCAUGGAAUAAUAAAAUAGGACGGCAUGAUUCUAUUUUGUUGGUUUCUAGGAUCACCGUAAUGAUUAAUAGGGAUAGUUGGGGGCAUUAGUAUUCAAUCGUCAGAGGUGAAAUUCUUGGAUUUAUUGAAGACUAACUACUGCGAAAGCAUUUGCCAAGGAUGUUUUCAUUAAUCAAGAACGAAAGUUAGGGAUCGAAGACGAUCAGAUACCGUCGUAGUCUUAACCAUAAACUAUCGACCGACUAGGAAUCAGACGAUGUUAAUUUUUAAUGUACUCGUUUGGCAC